rnacentral:ncRNA from 1 species
CUCUUAUCAAGAGUGGUGGAGGGACUGGCCCUAUGAAGCCCGGCAACCAGUAUUCAUUUAGAAUAAAAUGGUGCCAAUUCUUGCAAUCUUAUUAAGAUUGACAGAUGAGAG